UCCCUUGUGGCUCUGUUGGUAGAGAAUCUGCCUGUAAUGCAGGAGACCUGGGUUCGGUCCCUGGUUUGGGAA
rnacentral:tRNA from 1 species